rnacentral:rRNA from 1 species
AGUGAACGCUGGCGGUAGGCCUAACACAUGCAAGUCGAACGGCAGCACAGUAAGAGCUCGCUCUUACGGGUGGCGAGUGGCGGACGGGUGAGGAAUACAUCGGAAUCUACUUUUUCGUGGGGGAUAACGUAGGGAAACUUGCGCUAAUACCGCAUACGACCUACGGGUGAAAGCAGGGGAUCUUCGGACCUUGCGCGAUUGAAUGAGCCGAUGUCGGAUUAGCUAGUUGGCGGGGUAAAGGCCCACCAAGGCGACGAUCCGUAGCUGGUCUGAGAGGAUGAUCAGCCACCCUGGAGCUGAGACACGGUCCAGACUCCUACGGGAGGCAGCAGUGGGGAAUAGUGGACAAUGGGCGCAAGCCUGAUCCAGCCAUACCGCGUGGGUGAAGAAGGCCUUCGGGUUGUAAAGCCCUUUUGUUGGGAAAGAAAAGCAGCAGGUUAAUACCCCGCUGUUCUGACGGUACCCAAAGAAUAAGCACCGGCUAACUUCGUG